UGAGGGAAAGGGCACCAUUUUAUAGAAAUAUGAUGGAGUUGAGAACAUGUGGUAUGAGGAAUCCAAAGAUAUGUAUAGAGUGAUUCCAGCACCUCAUGGCCCCAUCCUUUUGAGACUGAGAGGUGUCAUCCUAAUGCAUAAAAUGAGGCUAAGAAUACUUGUAAGACUUGAACAAAGUUAUGCAAGUGAAAAGACUUCUUGAGAUCUUGUAAAGGGCUAUAAAAAUGUAUUAAAAUCAUCACAGAUGUAUGACUGAAGGGACCUUAGAGUUCAAGUAAUUCAAGAUGUGAAUACAAAGGCCAAGAGAGGGUAAAAGAAGUAUACAAGUUGAUCAAACAGAUACUAAGAGGCUGAGCCACAAUUGGAAUCUAGAUUCUCUGACUCCAAAUCAAUCUUUUUUCCAAGGAAUCAUGAUCUUGCAAAAUACCAAAAAACUACUCUUCUGAAGAAGACAGAGCUGGUCUAUGGAAGUUAUUUCCAAAUCUCUUGGAUUCUAGGGCUGAAGUGAGAUCACUGCAAGCUGCAAAACCAAACCAUGACCUGGCUUGGGAGCGAACAUGCUAAGCAAUCCUGUCCCCAUGGUUUUCAAAAGUGAGGCAAACUUUUCCAAAGCCAAACCUAAAACCUUCCCACAUCUGUCUGCCCAUGACAGCCUGCGCGAGGUACAGAUUCUAGGAAGAAAUGGUAGGUGGCCCUCGGCCACAAGCACAGGGCAUUGUGUUACAGUAAUGGCAAUUCGCCCCAUUUGGGAGCCAAUGGAAGCCUCCGCCCAUAGUUUCAUCACAUUAAAAGACUAUAUUAUUAUUCCUUGGAAUUAACAUCUAUCAAAGUACAACAUGCUCCUUGAUGGGAAAGCUUAUAUAAAACAAUCAGUUUUCUGAAUUUUUUAGCUCCCAUUUAGUGGGGGAAGGAGGAAACAGAGAAUUGGGGGGGGGAGGGGAGAAAAGAAGGGAUGGGGGAUUCUUGAACCCAGGUCAGUAGCUAUGGGAGAGACUGCUUAUAGCCAAAUCUAUUCAUUUCUCAUUCAGAUAUCUUUUUUAAGGUUUAAAAAGCACUCUGAACACAUUUGAUCCUCACAAUGGUUAUGUGAAGGAAGAUGUAUAAGCAUUACAAAAGAAUUUCAGGAAUUUAAACAACUUGGUUCAAGGGGACAUAUUAGGGACAACUCAGUCUACUUUCGACUACAUCAGUCUAAAACCCAGAAGUCUAACCAAAACCUACCAGCUGGGGGACAAAGUUACACAACCACAAGAGAAAAAUGUUGUUCAAUAGAUUAUCAGUGAACAAAAUCUGAGUUUCCUUGAUCGAUCCACAGAGCUCAGAAGUCCCAAAUCCUAAGGUAUGUUUUCCAAAGUCAGUAAAUAGAUGGGCUUGGCUUGUCUGGAGAGUGAGAGAGAUGAUGCUGGUAAGGUUUAUGUGUGGAGGAUUUUAAGUGACAAGCUAAGGCAUUUGUUUUCUGUCCUAGAGCCCAUGACUACAAGGUUUUUGUUUUUGUUUUUUGUUUUUAUUUUUAGCAAAGAUAACUGGAGUGGAAAAGGCCAAAAAGAAGGGAAGGACACCAUUUUCAAGGCCAUAACAGUUGGUCAGGCAUAAGUUGAUAAAGAACUGAAUUACUUCUCCACUAAAAAUGACUUCUUCCUUGGGUGAGGCUGUUAAAUUCAACUCUGUCUCUUACUAUCAGAUUGCAUAAAGGAACCUAAAUAAUACCUAGAAAAAAGGAAGGAAAUCAUGAAUAGAUAAUGAUAGCAAUUGGGAAACCAACUUUGGGGUUUCUAAAGAAUUCCAGCAAUUAAAAAAAAUUUUAAUUUAAUUAAUAUUAAAAUCGGCUGGAGAAUAAGUAUUACUUGUCUAGUAAACAUUAGUUAUAUUAAUACUAAUUUGUAUCUAAAAGUACAUCAUGUAGAAAAUACUAACAAAAAAUAUGGAAUUAAUGAUAAUAGCUAUAAUGGAAGGAGGAAACCUUAGUGUCUUACAAAUAGAAGAGGGUAUAGUAGUUGGAGAGGAACAAAAGAAGGAAUCAAUAAUGUGUUCUGCCAUUAUCCUGGUGAGGAGUAUGAGCCAUAGAGGCAUUCUAUCAACACUGUGUAAAAAUUCAUAUGAACGGUAAUACUAAGUCAGGAAAAAAAACAAUAG